rnacentral:tRNA from 1 species
GGGGUCGAAGAGGCGCGUCUCAGCUUCCCAAGCUGAAUGUCGUCGGUUCGAUCCCGAUCGCCCGCUCCA